CGAUGAGUAGGGCGGGACACGUGGUAUCCUGUCUGAAUAUGGGGGGCCCAUCCUCCAAGGCUAAAUACUCCUGACUGACCGAUAGUGAACCAGUACCGUGAGGGAAAGGCGAAAAGAACCCCGGCGAGGGGAGUGAAAAAGAACCUGAAACCGUGUACGUACAAGCAGUGGGAGCACGCUUAGGCGUGUGACUGCGUACCUUUUGUAUAAUGGGUCAGCGACUUAUAUUCUGUAGCAAGGUUAACCGAAUAGGGGAGCCGAAGGGAAACCGAGUCUUAACUGGGCGUUAAGUUGCAGGGUAUAGACCCGAAACCCGGUGAUCUAGCCAUGGGCAGGUUGAAGGUUGGGUAACACUAACUGGAGGACCGAACCGACUAAUGUUGAAAAAUUAGCGGAUGACUUGUGGCUGGGGGUGAAAGGCCAAUCAAACCGGGAGAUAGCUGGUUCUCCCCGAAAGCUAUUUAGGUAGCGCCUCGUGAAUUCAUCUCCGGGGGUAGAGCACUGUUUCGGCAAGGGGGUCAUCCCGACUUACCAACCCGAUGCAAACUGCGAAUACCGGAGAAUGUUAUCACGGGAGACACACGGCGGGUGCUAACGUCCGUCGUGAAGAGGGAAACAACCCAGACCGCCAGCUAAGGUCCCAAAGUCAUGGUUAAGUGGGAAACGAUGUGGGAAGGCCCAGACAGCCAGGAUGUUGGCUUAGAAGCAGCCAUCAUUUAAAGAAAGCGUAAUAGCUCACUGGUCGAGUCGGCCUGCGCGGAAGAUGUAACGGGGCUAAACCAUGCACCGAAGCUGCGGCAGCGACGCUUAUGCGUUGUUGGGUAGGGGAGCGUUCUGUAAGCCUGCGAAGGUGUGCUGUGAGGCAUGCUGGAGGUAUCAGAAGUGCGAAUGCUGACAUAAGUAACGAUAAAGCGGGUGAAAAGCCCGCUCGCCGGAAGACCAAGGGUUCCUGUCCAACGUUAAUCGGGGCAGGGUGAGUCGACCCCUAAGGCGAGGCCGAAAGGCGUAGUCGAUGGGAAACAGGUUAAUA
rnacentral:rRNA from 1 species